rnacentral:rRNA from 1 species
UCUUCCGCAAUGGACGAAAGUCUGACGGAGCAACGCCGCGUGAGUGAGGAAGGUCUUCGGAUCGUAAAGCUCUGUUGCCAGGGAAGAAUCCCCUGGGGAGUCACUGCCCCGGGGUUGACGGUACCUGAGAAGAAGGCCCCGGCUAACUACGUGCCAGCAGCCGCGGUAAUACGUAGGGGGCGAGCGUUGUCCGGAAUUAUUGGGCGUAAAGCGCGCGCAGGCGGUUUUGUAAGUCCGAUUGUUUAAACCCGGGGCUCAACCUCGGGUCGCAAGGGAAACUGCAAGACUUGAGUGCAGGAGAGGGAAGCGGAAUUCCAUGUGUAGCGGUGAAAUACGUAGAGAUAUGGAGGAACACCAGUGGCGAAGGCGGCUUCCUGGCCUGUAACUGACGCUGAGGCGCGAAAGCGUGGGGAGCAAACAGG